rnacentral:tRNA from 1 species
UCCCUGGUGGUCUAGUGGUUAGGAUUUGGCACUUUCACUGCUGUGGCCUGGGUUCAAUCCCUGGUCCGGGAA